rnacentral:tRNA from 1 species
UAAGGGUUAGUUUAAUUGUAUUAAAAACCUUGGUUUGUGGUCCCAAAAAUAAUUUUAUAAUUACCCUUAU